AGAACGAACGCUGGCGGCAUGCCUAAUACAUGCAAGUCGAACGAACACUUCGGUGUUAGUGGCGCACGGGUGCGUAACGCGUGGGAAUCUGCCCUUGGGUUCGGAAUAACAGUUGGAAACGACUGCUAAUACCGGAUGAUAUCGAAAGAUCAAAGAUUUAUCGCCCAGGGAUGAGCCCGACGUAGGAUUAGCUAGUUGGUGAGGUAAAGGCUCACCAAGGCGACGAUCCUUAGCUGGUCUGAGAGGAUGAUCAGCCACACUGGGACUGAGACACGGCCCAGACUCCUACGGGAGGCAGCAGUAGGGAAUAUGGACAAGUCGGGCGCAAGCCUGAUACCAGCAAUGCCGCGUGAGUGAU
rnacentral:rRNA from 1 species